rnacentral:tmRNA from 1 species
UCCCUUGUGAUGUGGGGGGGGAAUCCCCUAUAUAAAACCUGUCGGGGCAACCCGACUAUGGCGUUACACGACUUGGCGGAAUAGGCAUUACGGACCCGGGGGCGGUACCCGGCGGCUCCACCAUCUCUUUUCCCUGCCCUACUCAGGCGGGAUUGUGGGGGCCGAAACAGGAUCGACGUGUGUAGUAAAGGCCUCUGUUGGCGCUCGGCAUGGUACCACCGAUAUCGGACCAAUGUUUGUAAACGCAAACGACAAUAAUGCUCAGGUUGCUGUUGCUGCGUAAGCGGCACUAGCACCAAAGCGAAAAUUCCGGUUGCCGGGAGCGGUAAUUUGGUGGGGUCAGGGGCACCUAGCAACAGAACGCCCCGCU